GACGAACGCUGGCGGCGUGCUUAACACAUGCAAGUCGAGCGGUAAGGCCCUUUCGGGGGUACACGAGCGGCGAACGGGUGAGUAACACGUGGGUGACCUGCCCUCAGCUCUGGGAUAAGCCUGGGAAACCGGGUCUAAUACCGGAUAUGACUCCAUGACGCAUGUUGUGGGGUGGAAAGCCUUGUGCGGCUGAGGAUGGGCCCGCGGCCUAUAACNGCUUGUUGGUGGGGUGAUGGCCUACCAAGGCGACGACGGGUAGCCGGCCUGAGAGGGCGACCGGCCACACUGGGACUGAGACACGGCCCAGACUCCUACGGGAGGCAGCAGUGGGGAAUCUUGCGCAAUGGGCGAAAGCCUGACGCAGCGACGCCGCGUGAGGG
rnacentral:rRNA from 1 species